CAGGACAGGGGUCCUGUGUCCCAGAGGUGGGGUAUCCUGUAGCUCCCGUGGGGCCCUCAAGAGCCUGCUGGAAAUGCCCAUGUUGGAAAUGGAUCCUUCACCUUGUAAUAACCCCAAGGCAUCUACUUGUUUGGGAGAUCCUCUGUUCCUUCCCCCCGGAUCAUUUACACUUCCCACUUGGCAGAGCAUGUUUUGGGCUCAGAGAUGUUGUCCUCAGAUGGCCACAGUCCCUGUCCUCAAGCAAAUGGGAGUCAAAACUCUGCACCCAAAAGACAGCAGGUUUGGGGGAGCAGCUUGGAACCAGGUGGGGGUGCCAUAGCCAACCCACAAGUCCCUGCUGACACCAAGAAUUUUCCUCUGAGCCAUGGGGGGCAGUGCUGGGGGCAGUCCAGCAGGGCCAUCUGCUCCAGUCCCCUCAUGACCACACACCUCUGCUGCCCAGCACCAGCAGGUCCAGAGCUGCUCUGCCCCUGGCUGCCUCGUGCCCCUGGGGCUCCUCAGCCCUCCACAGUGAUGCGCCGGGACCCAGCCCAGCCCCACAGAGAGCAGUCCCUGCCUGGCCACAGCCCGGCCCUGCCGGGUGCAGUGCAAGAGCUGCCGAGCCCUGGGGCUGUCAUGGGCAGGGGGCCGGGGCCCCAGGGUCGACRGGGCCUCAGGRGCGACAGGGCCCUGCCCUGCCGUGGGGGCAGCAGGACGCUGCCUGCRGGCUCCGCCGCCCUGGCCAUGCCCUCAGGGUCACACAGGGCUGCAUUGUUGCCAUGGCAUCACCCCCAGUGCUGCCCUCCUAUUGGUCAGCAAGGGGAGGAGGCUGGGGCAAGGUUUGACUGGUGGCUCUGUCAGCCAAUCGGAGUGCAGCAUGCAGAAAAAACAGCCCAGAAAGGGGAGCGGGAGCCAAGGCGGAGGGAGCAAGCUGGUGAGAUCGGGUGUGAGUGGGGCUGGCGGGGCUGCGGGUGCCUUCAACUGCCAGCGGGUGCCCUCCCGCCGGGGUGGGGGCAGCGGUGCUGGCCCCGGGGCUGCUUUCCUGCAGGAGCUGCAGCAGGGGCUGCUGGGGCUGUGAGCAUGGCACAGAGCGACCGGGGACACAGCGGGGAGCUGCCCUGCAGC
rnacentral:lncRNA from 1 species